rnacentral:rRNA from 1 species
CGGAACGGCAGGGGUAGCUGCUCCCCUAUUCCGGUGGGGUACGGAGGAGCAAGGAGGGGGAGCGGGGGAGCUAGGGGAGAGGGUGCGGGUGAACGAGGGGAGAGGGAGACCGGAGGGGGAGGAGGUCUAGAGGAGGAGGGCUCGCACCAGCGGCGGCAAGGGGCGCGAGGUGGCGCCGGUAGUUGCGGGGGCGUAGGUAGACAGUUCAGGCGUUCGAGGCGAGCGGGAGAGGGGGUUGAGGCUGGUGCGCGCCACCGGCCCUCGCUGGCCUCGCGGGCGUGGCGGCAGAAGAAGGAGGAGACAGAGCGGCCUGAAGCAACUGAUGAGGCUGAGGCCGUCCGGAGGGGCUCGGGCGACGGGAGGUGCUGGCCGAGGAGCAACUACGUUGGUCUACCACCUAGGGACCUCGGUCUACGGUGACGGCUACCUACGACGAUGCACUUCUGGCGGCUACUGGUCCUCAUCAAUCCUCCAGGGUCCAUCCUCCGGAACGGAGAAGCUAGCACAACGAAAACACGAUCGGAAGAAUUCCGUAGGAACAAAUUGAAUACAGACAUGAAUCUAUAACAACGAAGGCGACUGAGAACACGAAAGCUCGAAGAUAUAAGCUCGGGAGCUCCGGGGACCGAACAUUAUAUUUCGCACAUAAUAAAAUUAAACGCAGAUCUCAACACAACACUAUAGAAGGUCACUCAGGGACUAGA